GAUUUUUCUAUUGUUCGCGUGAAUAGCCUGCUUCUCUCGCGAUCGUAGAAGGCUCCUUUCUUCGGUGGUCUGCUCAGCGCGUGUACCAUUUUUGAGGCUUGCACUGCACUUAGAAAUUCGACAGAAAAGCGGACGGAUCAUACGGAAGCAAAUCGUCAAGAUGGACAAGCCAACAGUGCCAGCGGUAGUGUACUAUUGUGCCGAAUGUUACGCGGAGAACAUUUUACGGGCCAAGGAUCCCGUACGCUGUACCUCGUGUGGAUAUCGUAUACUUUACAAAAAGCGUACCGAUCGAACGAUGGUCUUUGAUGCGCGCUAGCUCUAGGACGCCAUGAUGGCGCGUGCAUCGCAACGCACACGGUUACUCCGUUCGUGACGCCGAUAUCACGAUUUGUACCAUCGUUCAAUCGAAAUAAA